rnacentral:rRNA from 1 species
UACGUAGGGGGCAAGCGUUAUCCGGAUUUACUGGGUGUAAAGGGGGCGCAGACGGGACCGCAAGCCAGAUGUGAAAGCCCCGGGCUCAGCCCGGGGAGUGCAUUUGGAACUGUGGGCCUGGAGUACUGGAGGGGCAGGCGGAAUUCCUGGUGUAGCGGUGAAAUGCGUAGAUAUCAGGAGGAACACCGGUGGCGAAGGCGGCCUGCUGGACAGAGACUGACGUUGAGGCCCGAAAGCGUGGGGAG